AGGGUUAAAGGAAUGAAAAAAAAAAAAAGAAGAAAAAAAAAGUAAAUAAAAUUUACUUUUCUCUCUCUCUCCUCAACCCGCAUGCACGUUUUUUUCCUUCCUUCUUCUUCUUUUCCUUCCAGCCCUAGCCGCCAACACCGUCCGCCGUCUGCCUUCCAGCCCUCACUUGUCGUUCCGUCGAAGCCGCGAGCAGCGCCGCCAGUCUCACCUUAUCGUUCCGUCGAUGCCAGCCUUACCUUGUCGUUCCGUCGACGCUGCGAGCAGCGCCAUCAGCCUCGCCGUUCCGUCUCCACUGCAAGCACCGCUGUCUCGCCGCUCUCCUCGCCAACGUCAGCCCCGCCGUCUAGUUUUGCUUCUGCCACCGUUCGCCCGCCACUGCCUUUUUUAGAUUGGGAUUUGGAUUUCGAGGCGUUGCUAACAAAGAAAGGACCAUUCUCUUCAUCGAAGAGUUUUAGUUUUGAUUGGCUACUUGAAUCAAGUUUUGGAAUUUGUCUUGGAUCAAGCCACAACUUUGGGUUGAUUCAAGUUUUUCAAAGGUUUUAAAGAAUUAUUUGCGUGGACUUUUGUGACCAAGUUGAGGUAAGUGAUACUAUUACUGGUGUCUUCGUGCCAGACGAUCUAGAUUAGACUUAUGAAGUUACUUGGUUGACUCUAGAGCAUGAUUUUGUUUGAUAUUAUGUUUUGCUAGUUGCAUGGUGGUUACAAGUAUUAUGAGCAUGUUAAAAUUAUAAUCAAUACUGAUAUUAUGUAUGUGAUACAUGAAUAGACCAGUAGAGCAGUUUAUUGUCUUGCCUUGACAUGUGUUAUUACUAUGUUUGACGGUGUGCCUAUGGGCUGCUAGACAUGCGUGAACUGACAGGAUAACGUUCAUGUUAUUAUCAUGUUUGACGGUGUGCCUACGGGCCGCUAGAUAUGCAUGAAUCGACAGGUUUACGUUCAUGUUACUUUUAUUUUCAUGUUUCAUGUUUUGACGGUGUGCCUACGGGCCGCUAGACAUGCGUUUCAAGGCAAGAUAGUACGUCUUUUGGUUUUCCUUUCGUCAUCAAAAAUCGAUGUAACUGUAUGAGCCACGGGCUAAUUUUAUUUUUUCUUUCUUUGCUCAUUGAUGCAUAGUCUGAUCCCGGUAAUGGGAUCACUUAC